AGGAUGAACGCUGGCGGCGUGCUUAACACAUGCAAGUCGAACGGUGAAGUGAGGAGCUUGCUCCUUGCGGAUCAGUGGCGAACGGGUGAGUAACACGUGAGUAACCUGCCCUUGACUCUGGGAUAAGCGUUGGAAACGACGUCUAAUACCGGAUACGACCUCCGAAGGCAUCUUCUGGAGGUGGAAAGAAUUUCGGUCAAGGAUGGACUCGCGGCCUAUCAGCUAGUUGGUGAGGUAAUGGCCCACCAAGGCGACGACGGGUAGCCGGCCUGAGAGGGUGACCGGCCACACUGGGACUGAGACACGGCCCAGACUCCUACGGGAGGCAGCAGUGGGGAAUAUUGCACAAUGGGCGCAAGCCUGAUGCAGCAACGCCGCGUGAGGGACGACGGCCUUCGGGUUGUAAACCUCUUUAGUAGGGAAGAAGCGAAAGUGACGGUACCUGACAGAAAAGCACCGGCUAACUACGUGCCAGCAGCCGCGGU
rnacentral:rRNA from 1 species